GACGAACGCUGGCGGCGUGCCUAAUACAUGCAAGUUGAGCGCUGAAGGUUGGUACUUGUACCAACUGGAUGAGCAGCGAACGGGUGAGUAACGCGUGGGUAAUCUGCCUUUGAGCGUGGGACAACAUUUGGAAACGAAUGCUAAUACCGCAUAAAAACUUUAAACACAAGUUUUAAGUUUGAAAGAUGCAAUUGCAUCACUCAAAGAUGAUCCCGCGUUGUAUUAGCUAGUUGGUGAGGUAAAGGCUCACCAAGGCGAUGAUACAUAGCCGACCUGAGAGGGUGAUAGGCCCAAUUGGGACUGAGACACGGCCCAAACUCCUACGGGAGGCAGCAGUAGGGAAUCUUCGGCAAUGGACGAAAGUCUGACCGAGCCACGCCGCGGGAGUGAAGAAGGGUUUCGGAUCGUAAAACUCGGUUGGUAGAGAAGAAAGUUGGUGAGAGUGGAAAGCUCAUCAAGUGACGGUAACUACACAGAAAGGGACGGCUAACUACGUG
rnacentral:rRNA from 1 species